UACGUAGGGGGCAAGCGUUGUCCGGAUUUAUUGGGCGUAAAGAGCGUGUAGGCGGCCAGGUAGGUCAGCUGUGAAAACUCGAGGCUCAACCUCGAGACGUCGGUUGAAACCAUCUGGCUAGAGUCCGGAAGAGGAGAGUGGAAUUCCUGGUGUAGCGGUGAAAUGCGCAGAUAUCAGGAGGAACACCUAUAGCGAAGGCAGCUUGCUGGGACGUUACUGACGCUAAGGCGCGAAAGCGUGGGGAGCGAACAGG
rnacentral:rRNA from 1 species